UACAGAGGGGGCAAGCGUUAUUCGGAAUUAUUGGGCGUAAAGGGCGCGUAGGCGGCCAUUCAAGUGACGGGUGAAAGCCCUCGGCUUAACCGAGGAACUGCCUGUCAGACUGGAUGGCUUGAGACCGGGAGAGGUGAGUGGAAUUCCCAGUGUAGCGGUGAAAUGCGUAGAUAUUGGGAGGAACACCAGUGGCGAAGGCGGCUCACUGGACCGGAACUGACGCUGAGGCGCGAAAGCGUGGGGGAGCAAACAGG
rnacentral:rRNA from 1 species